UACGUAGGGGGCAAGCGUUGUCCGGAUUUAUUGGGCGUAAAGAGCGUGUAGGCGGUUAGGUAGGUCCGUUGUGAAAACUCGAGGCUCAACCUCGAGACGCCGAUGGAAACCAUCUGACUAGAGUCCGGAAGAGGAGAGUGGAAUUCCUGGUGUAGCGGUGAAAUGCGCAGAUAUCAGGAAGAACACCCGUGGCUAAGGCGGCUCUCUAGUACGUGACUGACGCUGAGACGCGAAAGCGUGGGGAGCGAGCAGG
rnacentral:rRNA from 1 species